rnacentral:rRNA from 1 species
GACGAACGCUGGCGGCGUGCCUAAUACAUGCAAGUCGAACGCAGUGGGGACGGGUGAGUAACACGUGGGUAACCUCCCAUCAGAGGGGAUAACACUUGGAAACAGGUGCUAAACCGAUACUGAUGGAUGGACCCGUGUUGGAUUAGCUAGUUGGUGAGGUAACGGCUCACCAAGGCCACGAUGCAUAGCCGUCCUGAGAGGAGGAUCGGCCACACUGGGACUGAGACACGGCCCAGACUCCUACGGGAGGCAGCAGUGGGGAAUCUUCGGCAAUGGACGAAAGUCUGACGGAGCAACGCCGCGUGAGUGAAGAAGGUUUUCGGGUCGUAAAACUCUGUUGUCAGAGAAGCGGUAUCUGACCAGGAAGCCACGGCUAACUCCGUGCCAGCAGCCGCGGUAAUAC